rnacentral:rRNA from 1 species
CUCAAAGGAAUUGACGGGGGCCCGCACAAGCGGAGGAACAUGUGGUUUAAUUCGAUGAUACGCGAGGAACCUUACCCGGGCUUGAAUUGCACAGGACGGGGUGCAGAGACGCACCCUUUCUUCGGACCUGUGUGAAGGUGCUGCAUGGUUGUCGUCAGCUCGUGCCGUGAGGUGUCGGCUUAAGUGCCAUAACGAGCGCAACCCUUUCGGGUAGUUGCCAUCAGGUGAUGCUGGGCACUCUGCCCGUACUGCCAUCGCAAGAUGUGAGGAAGGUGGGGAUGACGUCAAAUCAGCACGGCCCUUACGUCCGGGGCUACACACGUGUUACAAUGGGGGGCACAGAGAGCAGCUUACGGGUGACCGUUGGCGAAUCUAUAAAUCCCCUCUCAGUUCGGACUGGAGUCCGCAACCCGACUCCACGAAGCUGGAUUCGCUAGUAAUCGCGCAUCAGCCAUGGCGCGGUGAAUACGUUCCCGGGCCUUGUACACACCGCCCGUCAAGCCAUGAAAGCCGGGGGUGCCUGAAGACUGGGAUGACCGGUCUAGGGUAAAACUGGUGAUUGGGGCUAAGUCGUAACAAGGUAACCGUA